rnacentral:rRNA from 1 species
UCGGCGGAAACGACUUAUCUGAACCUUCGGGGAACGAUAACGGCGUCGCGCGGCGGACGGGUGAGUAAUGCCGAGGAAAUUGCCCUGAUGUGGGGGAUAACCAUUGGAAACGAUGGCUAAUACCGCAUAAUACCUACGGGUCAAAGAGGGGGACCUUCGGGCCUCUCGCUUCAGGAUAUGCCUAGGUGGGAUUAGCUAGUUGGUGAGGUAAUGGCUCACCAAGGCGACGAUCCCUAGCUGGUCUGAUAGGAUGAUCAGUUUUACUGGAACUGAUACACGGUCCACACUCCUACGGGAGGCAGCAGUGGGGAAUAUUGCACAAUGGGCGCAACCCUGAUGCAGCCAUGCCGCGUGUGUGAAGAAGGCCUUCGGGUUGUAAAGCACUUUCAGGCGUGAGGAAGGUACUGUACUUAAUACCUGCAUUAUCGGACGUUACCGACCGAACAACCCCGGCCACCUCCGUGCCAGCACCGGGGUUAAUACGGAGGGUGCCACCGUUAAUCCGAAUUCCUCGGCGCUAACCCCAUGCGGGUGGCUUCGCCCCUCCGAUGUGAAACUCCGGGGCUCCUCCCCGGACCAGCUUUGGACGCCCUCACGACACUACGGCACAGGGGGGG